rnacentral:tRNA from 1 species
GACUUGAUACUUUAAAUUAAAAGAUCUGAUUUGCAUUUAGACAAUAAGUUUUAUAAACUUUCAGGCCA